CAGGACAUAGGAGAGGCCGUCUGUGAGGGCACAUGCCUGGGACAUUACCUGGUGGCUGUUUCCACAACAGAGGCCUCACUGGAGAAGCCCCUCCUUGCAUCACCGCCUCCUCAGUCUCGACGGCCUGGCUGGACUAAGUGGUUGGGUCGGCGAGUGUGGGGAGAGCACAAGAAGGACGCCAGCUUGUCCAGCAGUCUCAUCCUCUAGACAUCGCACACGCCAUCUCCCAGGGACAGCCAACUGACCUGGACUUUGCAAGAUCCUUCUCUCCUGUGUGAAGGCCUCCCUCCACUCCAUACCCCCUUUCUGAUAGGGGUCUCUGGACCAGGGGGUGGGUGGGACUAUGUCCAUGGCCAGUUGGAAGUAGCUGAAGAAGAAUGAGACCUCCACCCAUUUGCCUUUGUAAAAAUACAAAGUCCAGACCUGUUAAAGGGGAAACAGAGAAAUCUGAUCAGAUGAGUGGGGAAAAGUAGGGAGGGGGCAAAGGAGCAGUGUGCUGGGCAUUGCCAAACAGUCUAGGACGGGAUUGGCUGAGAGGCUGAACACCUCCAGAGCCCAUGGGAUUAUGGUCUGGAAGAUACAAAAUAAAAGAAGGGCUCUCUGGUUCUCUAUACAUGUGGCAUUAUAGUGCUUGUGGAAAGUGGCUGUUCCAAAAUUGUGACGCUUUUGAAUAAAGACUU